rnacentral:rRNA from 1 species
AUUGAACGCUGGCGGCAUGCUUUACACAUGCAAGUCGAACGGUAACAGGCCUUCGGGUGCUGACGAGUGGCGAACGGGUGAGUAAUGCAUCGGAACGUACCCAGAGGUGGGGGAUAACGCAGCGAAAGCUGUGCUAAUACCGCAUGUGAUCUGAGGAUGAAAGCGGGGGACCGAGCAGCAAUGUUUGGCCUCGCGCCUUUGGAGCGGCCGAUGUCGGAUUAGCUAGUUGGUGGGGUAAAGGCCUACCAAGGCGACGAUCCGUAGCUGGUCUGAGAGGACGACCAGCCACACGGGGACUGAGACACGGCCCAGACUCCUGCGGGAGGCAGCAGUGGGGAAUGUUGGACAAUGGGCGCAAGCCUGAUCCAGCAAUGCCGCGUGCGAGAAGAAGGCCUUCGGGUUGUAAACCGCUUUUGGCAGGAACGAAACGGUGUCCGCUAAUACCGGGCGCUAAUGACGGUACCUGCAGAAUAAGCACCGGCUAACUACGUG